UACGUAGGGUGCAAGCGUUGUCCGGAAUUAUUGGGCGUAAAGAGCUCGUAGGCGGUUUGUUGCGUCGGCUGUGAAAUCCCGAGGCUCGACCUCGGGUCUGCAGUCGAUACGGGCAGACUAGAGGUAUGCAGGGGAGAACGGAAUUCCUGGUGUAGCGGUGAAAUGCGCAGAUAUCAGGAGGAACACCGGUGGCGAAGGCGGUUCUCUGGGCAUGACCUGACGCUGAGGAGCGAAAGUGUGGGGAGCGAACAGG
rnacentral:rRNA from 1 species